rnacentral:rRNA from 1 species
AACGAACGCUGGCGGCAUGCCUAACACAUGCAAGUCGAACGAGACCUUCGGGUCUAGUGGCGCACGGGUGCGUAACGCGUGGGAACCUGCCCUUAGGUUCGGAAUAACUCCCCGAAAGGGGUGCUAAUACCGGAUAAUGUCUUCGGACCUAAGAUUUAUCGCCUUUGGAUGGGCCCGCGUUGGAUUAGCUAGUUGGUAGGGUAAAAGCCUACCAAGGCGACGAUCCAUAGCUGGUCUGAGAGGAGGAUCAGCCACACUGGGACUGCGACACGGCCCAGUCUCCUACGCGAGGGAGCAGUGGGGAGUAUUGGACGAGGGGCGAAAGCCUGAUCCAGCAAUGCCGCGUGAGUGAUGAAGGCCUUAGGGUUGUAAAGCUCUUUUACCCGAGAUGAUAAUGACAGUACCGGGAGAAUAAGCUCCGGCUAACUCCGUG